UACGAAGGGGGCUAGCGUUGUUCUGAUUUACUGGGCGUAAAGCGCGUGUAGGCGGGUCGUUAAGUUGGGGGUGAAAGCCCGGAGCUCAACUCCGGAACUGCCUUCAAAACUGGCGACCUGGAGCAUGUCAGAGGCGAGUGGAAUUGCGAGUGUAGAGGUGAAAUUCGUAGAUAUUCGCAGGAACGCCAGUGGCGAAGGCGGCUCGCUGGGACAUUUCUGACGCUGAGACGCGAAAGCGUGGGGAGCAAACAGG
rnacentral:rRNA from 1 species